UGGGGAAUAUUGGACAAUGGGCGAAAGCCUGAUCCAGCCAUGCCGCGUGUGUGAAGAAGGUCUUCGGAUUGUAAAGCACUUUAAGUUGGAGGAAGGGCAGUAAGUUAAUACCUUGCUGUUUUGACGUUACCAACAGAAUAAGCACCGGCUAACUUCGUGCCAGCAGCCGCGGUAAUACGAAGGGUGCAAGCGUUAAUCGGAAUUACUGGGCGUAAAGCGCGCGUAGGUGGUUCAGCAAGUUGGAUGUGAAAUCCCCGGGCUCAACCUGGGAACUGCAUCCAAAAACUACUGAGCUAGAGUACGGUAGAGGGUGGUGGAAUUUCCUGUGUAGCGGUGAAAUGCGUAGAUAUAGGAAGGAACACCAGUGGCGAAGGCGACCACCUGGACUGAUACUGACACUGAGGUGCGAAAAGCGUGGGGAGCAAAACAGGAUUAGAUACCCUGGUAGUCCACGCCGUAAAACGAUGUCGACUAGCCGUUGGGAUCCUUAGAUCUUAGUGGCGCAGCUAACGCGAUAAGUCGACCGCCUGGGGAGUACGGCCGCAAGGUU
rnacentral:rRNA from 1 species